rnacentral:rRNA from 1 species
GAUCCAGCCAUGCCGCGUGCAGGAUGAAGGCCUUCGGGUUGUAAACUGCUUUUGUACGGAACGAAACGGCCUUUUCUAAUAAAGAGGGCUAAUGACGGUACCGUAAGAAUAAGCACCGGCUAACUACGUGCCAG